rnacentral:rRNA from 1 species
CUACGGGGGGCUCCAGUGAGGAAUUUUGCUCAAUGGGGGGAACCCUGACGCAGCAACGCCGCGUGAGUGAUGAAGGCUUUCGGGUCUUAAAGCUCUGUCAAGUGGGAAGAACCUAUGCAGUGUUAAUAUCACUGUAUACUGACGGUACCACUGAAGGAAGCACCGGCUAACUCCGUGCCAGCAGCUGCGGUAAUACGGGGGGUGCAAGCGUUAUUCGGAAUCAUUGGGCGUAAAGGGCACGUAGGCGGCUUGGUAAGUCAGAUGUGAAAGCCCGGGGCUUAACCCCGGAAGUGCAUUUGAUACUGUCAGGCUUGAGUAUGGGAGAAGGAAGUGGAAUUCCUGGUGUAGAGGUGAAAUUCGUAGAUAUCAGGAGGAACACCGGUGGCGAAGGCGACUUCCUGGACCAAUACUGACGCUGAGGUGCGAAGGCGUGGUUAGCAAACAGGAUUAGAUACCCCGGUAGUC